rnacentral:precursor_RNA from 14 species
UCCCAAUGCCUGACGCUCUGGGCUGCGUCCACAGGCACGGCCGGUUUGAGCAUUUUGACUGAAUUGCCAAACCAGGUGUGCCUGUGGGCACAACCUUCGCCUGCUCCUCGAAUCUUC